rnacentral:rRNA from 1 species
UACGUAGGAGGCAAGCGUUGUCCGGAAUUACUGGGCGUAAAGCGCGUCUAGGUGGUGGGACAAGUCUGCUGUGAAAGCGCCUGGCUUAACCGGGCGAGGUCGGCGGAAACUGUCCGACUCGAGGACGGUAGAGGGGGGUGGAAUUCCCGGUGUAGUGGUGAAAUGCGUAGAGAUCGGGAGGAACACCUGUGGCGAAGGCGGCCCCCUGGGCCGGCCCUGACACUGAGACGCGAAGGCGUGGGGAGCGAACGGG